GGGGCUGCAUUUAGCUUAGACGUGUGGACAUUGACAUUCUAUUUACGCGAGCCGUUUUAUCUGGCGUUACCGGAUUAAAUUACAAAUGCAACUGCAUUUUCACGGGCAAAGGCCUCAGUGACUAACUUUGCUACUUUUGUAGCGAACGCAUUCGCUGUCCCAGCUUUUGCUGCUGCACGAGUUUAAUUACUCGUGACCAUCGAGUUCCUGAUUCCCUUUAAGGAUUACUCGGUGCUAUAUCAGAGGGAUGCUCUGCUUAUUCGCCACCUGUGUUUAAGUAGCUAAGAUUAUCAGGUUGGUCAGUACAUUAUUUUUGUUUGUUUUACAGAUGAACUGACGAGAUAUACAAAACAAACUACGCUCGUAGAGGAAUAGAUGUCACCACACGGACGCGGGUGCGAUUCCCGCCAGCUCCACCA
rnacentral:tmRNA from 1 species